rnacentral:rRNA from 1 species
CCUACGGGAGGCAGCAGUGAGGAAUAUUGGUCAAUGGACGAAAGUCUGAACCAGCCAAGUAGCGUGAAGGAUGACUGCCCUAUGGGUUGUAAACUGCUUUUAUAUGGGAAUAAAAUGUUCCACGUGUGGGAUUUUGUAUGUACCAUAUGAAUAAGGAUCGGCUAACUCCGUGCCAGCAGCCGCGGUAAUACGGAGGAUCCGAGCGUUAUCCGGAUUUAUUGGGUUUAAAGGGAGCGUAGGUGGCUUGUUAAGUGUGUUGUGAAAGUUUGCGGCUCAACCGUAAAAUUGCAGUUCAAACUGGCAGUCUUGAGUACAGUAGAGGUGGGCGGAAUUCGUGGUGUAGCGGUGAAAUGCUUAGAUAUGACGAAGAACCCCGAUUGCGAAGGCAGUUCACUGGACUGCAACUGACACUGAGGCUCGAAAGUGUGGGUAUCAAACAGGAUUAGAUACCCGUGUAGUC